GAUGAACGCUGGCGGCGUGCCUAAUACAUGCAAGUCGAGCGAACGGACGAGAAGCUUGCUUCUCUGAUGUUAGCGGCGGACGGGUGAGUAACACGUGGAUAACCUACCUAUAAGACUGGGAUAACUUCGGGAAACCGGAGCUAAUACCGGAUAAUAUUUUGAACCGCAUGGUUCAAAAGUGAAAGACGGUCUUGCUGUCACCUAUAGAUGGAUCCGCGCUGCAUUAGCUAGCUGGUAAGGUAACGGCUUACCAAGGCAACGAUGCAUAGCCGACCUGAGAGGGUGAUCGGCCACACUGGAACUGAGACACGGUCCAGACUCCUACGGGAGGCAGCAGUAGGGAAUCUUCCGCAAUGGGCGAAAGCCUGACGGAGCAACGCCGCGUGAGUGAUGAAGGUCUUCGGAACGUAAAACUCUGUUAUUAGGGAAGAACAUAUGUGUAAGUAACUGUGCACAUCUUGACGGUACCUAAUCAGAAAGCCACGGCUAACUACGUG
rnacentral:rRNA from 1 species